rnacentral:lncRNA from 1 species
GAAAAAACAUUUUUGGUUUGUUUAAGGCUGGCUGCAAGUUUGAGGUUGGAGGCAGAGGUGCUUUGAACAAUCCUGCUAGGGAAAGGAUCUCAUUUCUGCGGUGUGGUUUUUAUUUAUUUAUUUUUAUUUUGUUAAUUAGCAAUAGUGUACUAUUCUUUCAGAGGGAGUUUGUAAUGCCUACAUGAAUGUGUCCGAGCAGGGAUCAAAUUCCACACUCCCCUUCAGGUUUUUUUUUGACAUAGCACACACCUGUGUGUUCUCUGCUCUGACCUCAGAAUUGUUUGGAAAAGCUUCUGACAUCUGAUGUGUGGAAACAACGGGCUUCUGACAAGAGAAGUUCACAGUGUCCCUGUCUAUGGUGCUUCUGAUAAGGUUUACUUUUUAGUAAACUUUAUCCUAAGACAAGCGAAGAAUCCAACAUCAAGAGUUCUGGGGUAGGUUCUGUUUGACUGUGUAGUGUUUUCUUGAAGCAUUGGGUGAACAGGUUACUGAUAGAUAAGUGCAUCUAGAUAUAUUUAUAGUAAGAUAUAAAAGAGCCCUAAUAGUUUUGUGUUUUGUUUUUGAAAAAGCCUUUUUCAAUUUCCUUUAUUAUAUGCUGUAGAAAUGGUGAUAAAGAAUACAGACCCAGUUAAGUUUUAUGUUUUUACACAGAAUAGGAAAAGCAUUGCUUGAUGAUAUACAUUGGAUCAACACCUGCAUUACCCUAAAUGUUGUCACAUAAGAGACAACAUCAAAUUUCAGUAAAUGUUCUCUGGGUACGAAGCCACUCUGAAAUAAUUUUCAUAGCUGAAUUAUUGCCCCUUUCGAAACACAGCAGGUAUUUUAUAUGUACUUUUAUGUUAGAAGAUACAGUAGCCUUUUGUAUUUCAGCAUUCCGCACUGGGUUUUACUAAAUUCACAGAUUUCUCCUUUUAAAAUCAAGCUGCCUUUGUCUCAGCAACAGCAGUUGAUGUCUUGCAAUCUGUUUAAAUGAGUAGUUUCUGCUGUUUAUCCUAAAAUGCAGAUAAAUGGCUUUCAGCCCACUGUUUAUAGUGGAAUAGCUCCUGAAGAGAGUCAGCCUUAUCAGCCAGUCUUCGUGCUAUAACUAAUGAUCUCUCUGCUUAUACUUCCCUGCUGGAGAAAAAGCUUCGCACUUUGCAGAGCCAAGAAAGAGCCUAGCACCGCUCGGGUGGGUGGACUGGAUGGGAGGGUGCCUACUGGAAGGGUUUCUGUCUUCUUUACUGCUAAGAAGCGGAGGGGGGAAAUCUUGCCUUUAUUUUUCACAUGUACAAAGCUACCAUGUUCUGAAAUCUAGGGUAAAGGAACAGGAGAAAGUAACUGUAGAGAAUAAUUCUUUAUUCCAAAUUGCCUAUUUAGUAGCCAAUGUCAUUUUAGUACUUUCUCGGCCAAUUAUUAUGAGGAUAGAAAGAGAGACGCUUCAUAAGCUACUGUGGUUUUAAUGGUGAAAGUAAAUGGUGAAAGUUUCCCUCUUUAUAAAAAGGGAGAAAGAAAAUAAAUAGGCUCAACCAAGCUCUUACAAAGGUGUCUGUUCAUUCCGAAGGUCAUUCUGAUCUUUCCAUAGAGAAACAAAAACAACUGUGCUAAACAAACUACUUCCAAUUUAGUGGGGCUCAAUCAGGUUAACUUGUAUAGUAGUUAAAGCUGGUAUCAGCCUCUGUUUAUUUUGCUGGUUUGUGCAUGCACAUGAGCAUGUAUAAGGGGGUGUACAGAGGCAUGACCACAUGUGUGUGGAAGCUGGAGGGCAACCUUGCCUGCCAUUCCUCAGGUGCCUUGGCUGUGCAGCAAUGGUCCUGGAGCUCAUAAAGUACACUAGGAUAACUGGCCAGCUAGCCUUAGGUACCAGAUCCCCCUCCUAGAACACACAGGCUCAAACAUGUGCUAUCAUACUAGGCUUCUCCCGUGCAAUUUUUGAUGAGAAUUUUCGGAGACUGAACUCAGGUCCUUGGACUAGCAAGACAUUGCUCUCCUCAGUGAACCAUCCCUCCAGCCCCGAUUUGCUUUGUUUUUAUGUGGAGUACAGUUAUUGCUAAAUGGAAGGACUGCUGCUUGACAGCUGAAACGUGUGCUAAUACAUUUUGGCAAACAUUUUACUCAAUCACAUGGUUUCGUGGCCCUGGAAGAACACUGGACUGCUGUAGUGGUUGAGGAAGGCCACCGUCUUCUGUCUCUGUAUUAGAACCAUGAUGGUUUCCAACCCCCUCCUUCCAUCAUCCCUAUAAGGCAUGCUAAUCUAUGUUUCCUUUCUACUUCCUUCAUUUGAAUUUGAUGUUAUAUGCACAAUUGACCAGUAUAUUCAGGGAGAAAUAAUACAACAUACAUGUCAUCUGCUUUAGGGAAGUGUCAGUCAAAAUACACAAAUAGGUGGGAGAAAACCAUUCUGAAGGGGAGCUAUUUUUCACAUAUCGACUUACAGUCAAUCUUUGUUUUUAUUUUUUUUUUGGUGGUUUAUGUAUUAUAAUAACCCACAUGUUGAUGAUAAUUCUAAAAAGGAUGAAGGAAAAAAUCUUAAAUUUAGAAUAAAAUGUGUGAAGAUAUUAUUGGCAUAAAGGGAAAUAGUAAUAAGCCACCAUAUGUAGUAACCCAGUCCUGGAAUUCCAGUACUUAGGACCCUGAGGCAGGAGGAUUGACUUGGCUCUGAGGUCAGUAUCGGCUACACAGUGCAUUUCUAGCUAGCCUAGACUACAACAUGAAAUCUCAUCUC